AUUGAACGCUGGCGGCAUGCUUUACACAUGCAAGUCGAACGGUAACAGGCCGCAAGGUGCUGACGAGUGGCGAACGGGUGAGUAAUGCAUCGGAACGUGCCCAGUCGUGGGGGAUAACGCAGCGAAAGCUGUGCUAAUACCGCAUACGAUCUGUGGAUGAAAGCGGGGGAUCGCAAGACCUCGCGCGAUUGGAGCGGCCGAUAUCAGAUUAGCCAGCUGGUGGGGUAAAGGCCCACCAAGGCGACGAUCUGUAGCUGGUCUGAGAGGACGGCCAGCCACACUGGAGCUGAGACGCGGUCCAGACUCCUCCGGGAGGCAGCAGUGGGGAAUUUUUGACAAUGGGCGCAAGCCUGAUCCAGCAAUGCCGCGUGCAGGAUGAAGGCCUUCGGGUUGUAAACUGCUUUUGUACGGAACGAAACGGCCCUUUCUAAUACAGGGGGCUAAUGACGGUACCGUAAGAAUAAGCACCGGCUAACUACGUGCCAGCCGCCGCGGUAAAAC
rnacentral:rRNA from 1 species